GUUGUUUUACAGAAGUGAAAGAAAUUUCAGAGCUGCUGUUCAACACAACGGUUCAGAGGAGGAAAUAGAAAUAUCUAGAAACAUUGUUUGAGAGUCAGUGGAGAUCAAACUGUUCAGGUCCAUCAUGAGUGAAACACAAACAUCUGGAGAUGAAGAUUUGUUUCCAGCACGCAGCUCAGUUCAUCAGAAGAGAUCAGAAGCAGAG